UGGGUAUCCACAGAAACAAUGACUCUUGGUACUAACCAUUGAACCUUCAUCUGACCACCUAGCACUGUGGGAGCGAUAGGCCACAUGUACAUUCAAAGGCUCAGGUAAGGACAAUGAGCUGUUGAGAGAGAGA